CACUCACCUGCCCAGGGGAGCUCAGGGCACCUUGCCAGACCCUCUGGGGCUUGCUGUCUGGUCAGGAUGCUGCUCUCAGCCAGUAGAGGCCUCCGAGGUGCCUCGUUCCUGCGGAAGUUGCUCCAUCCAGCCCACCAACGGGGUCGGGAUGAUCUCUUCUCUUGCCAUUCCUCUUGCGUAGGUGUAUAUUCCACAGCUGGUGCCCUGUUAUUUGAAUUCCAGGUUUUAAAAUAUUGCUUCCAGCCGGUCACAGUGGUUCACACCUGUGAUCUCAGCACUUUGGGAAGCUGAGGUGGGAGGAUUACUUGAGCCCAGGAGUUUGGGACCAGCAAGGUGAGACCCCAUCUCUACAAAAAAUAAAAACAAUUAGCUGGGCAUGGUGGUGCACGCCUGUGGUCUUAACUACUUGGGAGGCUGAGGCAGGAGGAGUGCUUGAGCCCAGGAGUUUGAGGCUGAGCGAGACCCUGUCUCAAAAGAAAAAAAAAUUGUUUCAGUUUCAUUAUCUGUAAAAUAAUAUUCAACUCAGUUAUCCGGGGGUCCCAAUGGGGAUUUGUAGAAGUUCACCACCUGGUGAGUCCCCUGGGACACCUGGGGCCUGAAUGGAUGUGGGGAGGACUCCGGUUUAGAAGCCAGGUGGAUACAGAGGUAGAGCCAGAGUGUGGGGGUGGGGCUCUUGGAGGGACCUAGGGUACUGCGGGAGCAUGUGGGGACAGCACUGUGGUGUGGACGUUGCAACACUCAUGGCAAGGGGGUCAGCAUGAGGGGUGGACAAGGACCCUUGAUGAGGAGUCCAAGUGGAGGAACAGGGCAGGUGUGCUGCUGAGGGCUGGGGACCCCCUGAGUUACUGGGGCAGCGGGCGGCAGGCUGAGGUCUUCAGGCAUGCAGAGGCAGCUCAGAACCAUUCUGUCUUGGCCCUCAAUGCCAGCAGGGUGUCACCAAUGAGGCUGGAGGCUGUUCAGCUUGCGUGGGUCGGAGAGACAUGAGAUGAUGCACCAGCCAAUAGCAGCUCCCAUUUCUGAAAAUCUGCCUGGUUCUGGAAUGUGUGAAGUCUCUGUGGCCUGUGUGGAAAUUACUCCAGGCUACAAGAGAGGGUCUUUCGGCUGUGCUGGG
rnacentral:lncRNA from 1 species